AUUGAACGCUGGCGGCAGGCUUAACACAUGCAAGUCGAGCGGGGUGAUGGUGCUUGCACUAUCACUUAGCGGCGGACGGGUGAGUAAUGCUUAGGAAUCUGCCUAUUAGUGGGGGACAACAUCUCGAAAGGGAUGCUAAUACCGCAUACGUCCUACGGGAGAAAGCAGGGGAUCACUUGUGACCUUGCGCUAAUAGAUGAGCCUAAGUCGGAUUAGCUAGUUGGUGGGGUAAAGGCCUACCAAGGCGACGAUCUGUAGCGGGUCUGAGAGGAUGAUCCGCCGCACUGGGACUGUGACACGGCCCAGACUCCUACGGGAGGCAGCAGUGGGGAAGAUUGGACAAUGGGGGGAACCCUGAUCCAGCCAUGCCGCGUGUGUGAAGAAGGCCUUAUGGUUGUAAAGCACUUUAAGCGAGGAGGAGGCUCUUUUGGUUAAUACCCAAGAUGAGUGGACGUUACUCGCAGAAUAAGCACCGGCUAACUCUGUGCCAGCAGCCGCGGUAA
rnacentral:rRNA from 1 species